rnacentral:rRNA from 1 species
AACGAACGCUGGCGGCAGGCCUAACACAUGCAAGUCGAACGGGACCUUCGGGUCUAGUGGCGGACGGGUGAGUAACGCGUGGGAACGUGCCCUUUGGUUCGGAAUAGCCUCGGGAAACUGGGAGUAAUACCGGAUACGGUCGAGAGACGAAAGAUUUAUCGCCGAAGGAUCGGCCCGCGUUGGAUUAGGUAGUUGGUGGGGUAAAGGCCUACCAAGCCGACGAUCCAUAGCUGGUUUGAGAGGAUGAUCAGCCACACUGGGACUGAGACACGGCCCAGACUCCUACGGGAGGCAGCAGUGGGGAAUAUUGGACAAUGGGCGAAAGCCUGAUCCAGCAAUGCCGCGUGAGUGAUGAAGGCCUUAGGGUUGUAAAGCUCUUUUUACCCGGGAUGAUAAUGACAGUACCGGGAGAAUAAGACUCCGGCUAACUCCGUGCCAGCAGCCGCGGUAAAGUGACUACUG